rnacentral:tRNA from 1 species
GCGGCGGUAGCUCAAUCGGCAGAGCGCCUGGUUGUGGUCCAGGAGGUCGCGGGUUCGAUUCCCGUCCGUCGCCCGA